CAUCUCCAGAUCGCUCAAAGAGCUCAAACCAGGUUUCCCCUUGCUCUCCUUCAUAUAGUGAUAUAAAUCAUGUCAAUUCUCGCAUUCGGAGCUCCAAUCCUAAAAAGAGUUAUGGAGAUGUUCCUUUCAAUGUUAGUGAGGAAGCUCAUUAAAUGUUAAAGCUUGGUAAAGACUUAAUGUUGGGGUUCUUGAUUAAACAGAUUAAUGCUGACAUCGAGUUGUGGAGGGACGCUAUUUAAUUAUCUCUGUAUUGGGAUCUAGAGUUUUUGGUUUUCUUGAUUCUCCUUUUAUUUUGGCUAUUUUGCCCUGUGCCUCGUGGUUUUGCAUUGAUUUCCUGUGUAGUAGUUGGGUCGAAUUCUGUUCAUUGUUGGUUCCGUUUGUUAGUGGUUUUCUUCAUGGUGCUUGCUUUUGAUGUUCUUGUUCCAAGGAUUGGUGCUAUUGGUUCCCCUUUGUAGUUUGGUUUGGUUCCCCUUUGUAGUUUGUUUUGGUUCCUCCCCUCUCUGUGUUCAAGGGCACCUUUUUUUUUCAUAUCUUUAGUUGGGUCUCAAAUUGUCGAGUUCUAAUGUUUGGUUAUGUGCCUCCUUUUGCUAUUCUAACUUUUCGAUUCAGUGUCUUGUUUCUUCUGCCUUUUUCACGGUGCUAACGAGUUUCACUGUUGGUUCUAUGGGAUUGUGGCAAUAUGCUUUGCUUUGGCAAGGCAUUGUAAACCAAUGAUUUAGCCUAUAAUUAUGCAAUCUUAGCCUAUAAUUAUGGUGCAGGUCAAAACAUAUAUUCUGCCUAUAAUCAUGAUCCUUAAUUUAUGUAAAUUUCCUAGAUUAGUUCCUUUGUAUAGGAUUUUCUUAUUUUAGCUAUUCAGUACACUGUAUAUAAAUAGGAUCUUUGUAUACAUGAGGACAUACAGUUGUUUUGACAAUUCUUUUAUGAAAUACCAAUAUUAGCAAUUAUCAAGUUUACAUGGUACCAGAGCUUGGUUUUGCUUUGAUCCUCGAAGAGUCAUUUUAAGACAAUUUUGAUUGUCUCAGUUUCAGCAUCAAUAGCAUCACUGGUGAUUGCUUGCUUCACGUACAAGGAUUGCUGAAUCUGCUUCCUUUGGUUUCUCCACUCCAGGUGUGAUCUGUACCUUGCUUCCUUUAAUUCUAUGGAUUGUCAUAAAUCUGAUACAAUAUCUGUUAAGUUUAAUGGGAGGAACUAUUCCCUAUGGGAAUUUCAUUUUUGUAUUUUUAUUGAAGGUAAGGGACUUUUGAAUGUUUUGGAUGGUUCAUUAAAAGAGCCUACAGAUGAUAAAGAAAAAGCAAAAAUGAGAGUCAAUAAUGCUAGAGUUAUUACUUGGAUUUUAAAUUCAGUUGAGAAAGACAUAGCUUUAAGCUUGAGACCUUUUAGUACUGCUAAUGAAAAUUGGGUCCACUUACAGAAGUUAUAUUCUCAACCAAAUCAUGCUAGAUUGUUUGAAAUAGAAUAUGAAAUUGCUAGAAUCAAUCAAGAUGAUAAGGAUGUAUGGACAUUUUACUCUGAAGAGUCUGAACUCAUAUGAUUAUGGACUGAACUUUAUAUGGUUUCUAUGAGUCUUGUUGACAAAUCAGCCUAUGCAGAUUUUAAAAAAGAAAGGGACAGAAAUAGGGUGCUGCAAUUUCUUAUGAAGCUUAGGCCAGAAUUUGAGAAUAUAAGGGCCACUAUAGUCAAUCAUGGGAUCACAGAUUUUGAUUCAGUUUUGGUAGAGUUACUUCGAGAGGAAACUCAGCUACAAACUCAAGCUAAUUUGGAUGCAAAAACUAAUAAUGUUGAUACGAUCUUUUUUGCUUCUUGUAGUAGACCACCAAUGAAGAAAAUGAUUGGGGAAAAUGGAACAGUUCAAUG
rnacentral:misc_RNA from 1 species